AUGACAGUGUCAUUGUGAAAGCCUUGUGGAUCACACUCCCUUUAUCCAGUGUAUGGAUGAUGUUCUCAGGUGUUGCCAUCAAACAGUCUGGGAUGGGGGAUGUGCUGAGAAGAGAUGGAAACUUCAUCGACGGCACAAGGACUUCUGAGCUCUUCUCCUCUCCACUCCCUGCACCACCUGGAGUCUGACUCAGGUGGAUUCCAGGGAUGCUCAGAAGGCAACUUCUCCCCUCACCGCCACCCCCUCCCAGCCACCCGCCCCCUUAAUGCCCAACCCCCAGGUCAGCCAACUCUGCCCCGCUCAAGCCCUGGCUCCUCCCAGGCAGCUGAGUCAGGUCAGAAUCCGAGAGCAGAGCAGUGGCGCCCCCGUGUGGCCACAGGGCAGAGUUCAGAAAAACCGAGUGUCCCUUUUCCCUCAGUGAAGACCUUCCCGAGGCCUCCCUGGGCUCCCAGCGUCCGGACAACUGUCUGCACAGAAAGGGGCGCCCCCAUUCCAGGGCACUUUUGAGGUGUGUCUACGCUGAUGUAGAUGUUUCAUCCUAUGGAGUCACCAUGGACUUUGGCUUCUGGGCAGAGCAAGGUCUGCAAACCCUACUAUCUGGUUCCCAGGUCCAGGGUGGACCUCACAAAUGUAUGAGGUGCCCCAGUACCAAUCUCAGUCUCCUGCAAAGGUCUCUGGACUCCCAAGUCCCUGACACUUAUUCCUGCUGCUGCUUCCAGGGAUGAAGACACCAUUCAGGAACCAACCAGUGAUGACUCUCCAACUCUAGGAUUUCGGGGGGAAGGGGGAGGAGAGAGCCCCCGUGGCAUUGGGCUAGGACCAAGGGAAGGUGCCCAGUGAAGUGAACAAAGGGAGGAAAAUAGGGACACUUGGUGGGUGGAGGUGAGAAGAAGUGGGUGGGAAGGAGCCAGAGAGGAAGGGGGGAUGACUUAGUGGACCAGUGAGGAGAGGGAUGGGGCCUUUUUGGUCAGGGGCACAGGGAGCUUCUGGCUAGGGUGAUGAUAGAGGUCUCUAUUUUCACCUGGAAGGUAAUUACACAGGUCUUAGUCCUUUACUUGAUGAAUAAGCUAUUAAAUGUUGAACAUUUUUCUGUAUUUAGAGGUAUGGUAUAAUGCAAACACAUGCGCACGUGCACACACACAGAAGAAAAAAAGGGAGAAAGAGGAUGAGGAUGAGAAGUGAUUAAUGUGGUUUCCCUUCACCCAGAGCAGCCUUUGCUAAGUCUGGGUGGCUGGGACAUCAAUGACUGGAGAGGAGGGGAGAGCAAGGCCUGUGCAGCUCCUGGAGGGCCAGCUGGUCCCUCCUUCUGGGAUUCUCAGGGUCUUAUUCUCUUUCAGCCUCUUUCAAGUCCAGUCCUCAGCUACCUGGAGGGCACUUCAUCUCCUAAGACAGCUGGGCCGCUAUGCCAAGAAGAGCAGCAUCAGGGCUCAGUUCCAGGAGCUGGCCCUGUUGCUGGCUGCCCUGGAAACAGUGGUUCUGGAGGGCAGAGGGCAGGAUGGAGCACGGAGGCUGGAAACCACAGUGGCUUACAGGGUGAUACGCGAUAAGACUGGCCUGGACUUCUGUCUAACGUACCCCCUGAACCCGAGGGCUGCCCCUCUCUGCAUCCCCAGACCUCCGGGGCCUAGGCACCCGGCCAUCAGCCCCCUGGACACCAAGGGUGGACCUUCCCCAGCAGGCCUGGGAGUGCAGGAGCCCGGCACCCUGUGUCUUUUCUUCAUGGACCUAAGCUGUCUAGACCACCCCAGGCCGUGCCUUUGUUUCAAAACCGUUUGCGGAAACUUUCAACCAUUUGUUCAAAAGACUCUUUUCCCACAUUGAAUUAUAUUGAAGCCAUUUUCAUGAGCAUAUAUGUAACCAUAUCUAUCUAUCUAUACAUAUAUGGUUCUAUUUAUGUACUCUUCAUUGUAUUCCAUUGAUCUAUGACUGUCCUUAGGUUGGUUCCUAGAGGUUUACCAUAAGUUUUGAAAUCUGAUUCUGUGGAUCCUCCAAAUAUCUUCUUAAAACCAUUUUGGCUAUUCAAAAUCUUUUUGUUUCCUUAUACAUUGUCAAUUUCUUUUUAAAAGCCUGCCAUGAUUUUGAUUGGAAUCACAUUUAAAUUAUAAGCCAAUUUUGGGAGAAUUUAUACCUUAACAAUGAAUAUUCCAAUCCUUGACAUGGUAUUUCUCAACAUGUACACAGAUUGUCAUUACUUACUCUCAGUGGUGCUUUGUAGAUUUGGGUGUGGAGAUCUUGCACACUUUCUUUAAAGUGAUACCUUAUUAUUUGGUCAUAUUCAUGCCAUUGUAAAUUGAAUUUUUAAUUUUCAUUUUUCUAAUUUUACUUUGUGUGUAGAAGUGAAAUUGAGUUUGUAUAUUUUCCUUGUACCCUGCAAUCUUGCUAUAUUUACUUACUAGCCCAGGAACAUUUUUGCCUUAGGAUUUUCUAUGUACAUGUUCAUGUCACCUGCAAAAUGAGAUACUUUCACUUCUCUUUUGUAAUCUGCAUACCUUUUAUUUUGUUUGCUUGGCAGUAUAUUGUGUAAUAGAAAUGGCAAGAGUCCACAUCCUUGCCUUAUUGUUGAUCUUAGGCAGAAAGUAGUCAGUCUUUCACCAUACAAUAUGACCAUAGCUGUAGAAUUUUCAUAGGUGCCCUUUCUCAUCUUGAAGAAGUUGCCUUCUAUUCCUAGUUUACUGAGAAAUAUUAUUAUCAAAGGAUGGUGAAUUUUUAAAUGCUUUUUCUGCAUGGAGAUGAUCCUAUGGUUAUUCUCAUUUAUUCCAUUAAAAUAAUAAAUUAGAUCAAUUCUCAUAUAUUCAUCCAGACUUCCAUCAGAAAUAAAACUUUCUUGGUCAUGA